AGAGAAUAUGGUAGAUAUUCUUGUGGUCGCCACGAGACAGUGCCCGCGCAGCCAUUCAACCACGCACACGGCACGCGCGGACGAGUAGGGAGCAGCCAUGGCCGCCGCCUUGUACUACCACCCGGCCGCCGGGAAGGCGAGCCUGGAGGCAGUGGCCCCGUCCUCGCCGUCGCUGGCCCUGCGGCCAUCUCAGAGCAAGGUGCUGUGCAUCGGCAGCAGCCGGUGGUGGAUGAGGAGGAGACGGGAGGGGAAGGCGAGGGCGAGCGGCAUCAGCAGCAGGGCAAGGGCACGGCCUGUGGCGAGGCCCGCCUUGUUCUCUCCCGUCGCCAUGGAGUGGCAGGAGUGCACGGCUAUCAUCAUUCAUCAGUGGCGGAGCUACCACUUGGUACUGGGUCCGCCGGCCCCGAUGAACUUAGAAGUAUUAACAGCCAUGCACGGUGGUCCAUGGAAGCAGCAAAAGAUGGAUAAGGACCAGUACAAGCAGUGGAUAGGGCUAGAUUUUGCUGGCCCCAGGUUCUGGAUGCUAUUUAUCACUUCAUAUCCAAACUCACUGAACUUGAAGUUGAUGUUCCAUGUUCCGUUGCCUAUCAGUGUUACUCAGAACGUGAGAGCAUUCCUCAGUGGAUGCCAUUCAUCUCAUCUGUCAAGGUCCUUGAAGAUAAACCAGAUCUUUCACGCUGGAGUCUGAAGUACGAGGUAUUUGGUCGGAAUGUAGAAUUCUCUUGGCUUGCUCGAAAUAUGACGCCGACUAAAAACCAAAAGAUCCAUUGGCGUUCUCUUGAAGGCCUUCCUAACAGUGCAAAAGCAGUGUGAGUUCUUUCUUGAAUGUUGCUCUUGUCGACGAGAGAGAAACAUGAUUAUUCUGGAAGAUGACAUCAUUCCUGGAGGUCCAGAUAGCCCAACAAAGCAAAAUGAUAAUGUCCAAUGAAAUGAGCGUAUGUAAUUGUCCCUUAAAACUGACAACUGCCUCGAAAAUUGAAACUUGAGGGCCGGCUGACAUAUAGAUUUAUGAGAUUCCAGCAAGCAAUUGCAUAGGGACAUCUUAGGAAAAGGUGCUCCAAGGUUUCCUCCUGUCGUGAGUUGCAUAGUUCACACUCAUAAGAAUCAAGUACCAUUGUUUUCCGUCUUAGUAAAUUUCUCGUGCUAAGGCGAUCCUUGAGUAGCAGCCAGAAGAAAACUUUGUGUUUGUUUUGACAACUAGAUUUCCAUAACCAUUUGAAAGCCGGGGAACUUGAGCAUGACCAGUGAGAUGUAAGUAAGCCUUUUUGGAGGAAAACUGAGUAUUUCCCCAAAUAUAUUGCCACCAGUCCGGAUUGUCUGAAA